CCGCGUCCCCCGCGCCUCCUCCCAGCGCAGGUGGGUCCGCCCGCGGGGGGCGGGGGUGCCCGGGAGCCGUGGGACGGGCGGGUAGCGGCAACCUUUGGGGAGCAGAGUGGUCCCCAACGCCCAGGUGCCCCGGCUCGCGCUCUGGCCCGGGCGAAUCGGGCUAUAGGAAGGGCCACACGGAUGGAAGUCCUAGUCCGGGUGCUCACCUCUUGUGGAACGUGCAAAGCCUGUCCCAGGACCUCUUUACACUCUGGGGGUCUCUGCCCAGGCACGCUUGCUGCUUCCGGACACAGCUGUGGGCGGAGCUAGUAGGGGCGGGGCUACGUGAUUGACACUUCUCUCCUCAGACUUCAAGGGCUACCACUGGACCCUUCCCCUGUCUUGAACCCUGAGCCGGCACCAUGGUCAGCUUCUGCAAGGCAACCUGCACUCUUCCAACCCGUUCAUCCUUGUAGCACGGACGCCUGAAGGUGAAGACGUCAGAAGAGCAGGCGGAGGCCAAAAGGCUAGAGCGAGAGCAGAAGCUGAAGCUAUACCAGUCAGCCACCCAGGCCGUAUUCCAGAAGCGCCAGGCUGGUGAGCUGGAUGAGUCCGUGCUGGAACUGACAAGCCAGAUUCUGGGAGCCAACCCUGAUUUUGCCACCCUCUGGAACUGCCGACGAGAGGUGCUCCAGCAGCUGGAGACUCAGAAGUCUCCUGAAGAGUUGGCUGCUCUGGUGAAGGCAGAACUGGGCUUCCUGGAGAGCUGCCUGCGGGUGAACCCCAAGUCUUAUGGUACCUGGCACCACCGAUGCUGGCUGCUAGGCCGCCUGCCUGAGCCCAACUGGACCCGAGAGCUGGAGCUCUGUGCCCGUUUCCUGGAGGUGGAUGAGCGGAA
rnacentral:lncRNA from 1 species